rnacentral:rRNA from 1 species
UGAACGCUAGCGGCAGGCCUAACACAUGCAAGUCGAGGGGUAACAGAGAGAAGCUUGCUUUUCUGCUGACGACCGGCGCACGGGUGAGUAACGCGUAUACAAUCUGCCUUAUACAGAGGGAUAGCCUUUAGAAAUGAAGAUUAAUACCUUAUAGUCUAUUUUUAUAGCAUUAUAUAAAUAGUAAAGCUUCGGUGGUAUAAGAUGAGUAUGCGUCCUAUUAGUUAGUUGGUAAGGUAACGGCUUACCAAGACAACGAUAGGUAGGGGCCCUGAGAGGGGGAUCCCCCACACUGGUACUGAGACACGGACCAGACUCCUACGGGAGGCAGCAGUGAGGAAUAUUGGACAAUGGAGGCAACUCUGAUCCAGCCAUGCCGCGUGCAGGAAGACGGCCCUAUGGGUUGUAAACUGCUUUUAUAUAGGAAGAAACCUUUUCACGUGUGAGAAGCUGACGGUACUAUAAGAAUAAGGACCG